UACGUAGGGGGCAAGCGUUGUCCGGAAUUAUUGGGCGUAAAGAGCUCGUAGGCGGUUUGUUGCGUCGGCUGUGAAAUCCCGAGGCUCAACCUCGGGUCUGCAGUCGAUACGAGCAAACUAGAGUGUUGCAGGGGAGACUGGAAUUCCUGGUGUAGCGGUGAAAUGCGCAGAUAUCGGGAGGAACACCAGUGGCGAAGGCGGCUUCCUGGCCCGUUCUUGACGCUGAGGCGCGAAAGCUAGGGGAGCAAACGGG
rnacentral:rRNA from 1 species